CUACGGGUUGCACCAGUGGGGAAUAUUGGACAAUGGGGGCAACCCUGAUCCAGCAAUGCCGCGUGUGUGAAGAAGGCCUGCGGGUUGUAAAGCACUUUCAGUAGGGAAGAAAAGCUCGGGGUUAAUACCCCCGGGUCUUGACGUUACCUAAAGAAGAAGCACCGGCUAACUCCGUGCCAGCAGCCGCGGUAAUACGGAGGGUGCGAGCGUUAAUCGGAAUUACUGGGCGUAAAGCGCGCGUAGGCGGCUAGAUCAGUCGGGUGUGAAAGCCCCGGGCUUAGCCUGGGAACUGCAUCCGAUACUGUCUAGCUUGAGUACAGGAGAGGAGAGUGGAAUUCCACAUGUAGCGGUGAAAUGCGUAGAUAUGUGGAGGAACACCAAUGGCGAAGGCAGCUCUCUGGCCUGAUACUGACGCUGAGGUGCGAAAGCGUGGGGAGCAAACAGGAUUAGAUACCCCAGUAGUC
rnacentral:rRNA from 1 species